UAUUGUGGAAAUUUGUCUUAUAGUCGUAUCCCAAAUCAGCAAGAUUUAUUUUUCUCUCUUUACGACAUAGUCAGAGCUCUGACUUCUUUGAGUUCUUCAGAUCGUGAAAACCAGCUUUCGGAGAGGAGGACGGUGUAAGAGAACCCCCCCAGAAACAGGAACCCUUCUCCAGUCUGCUUUAGGAGACUGGAUGGACCAUGUCAAUGUCUUCUUUGCCCUCUGGUUUCUAUAUUUGGCUGAUGUAGAUCCCUGGCAGGAUAUUGAAGAGAGUGAGGUCAGGGUAUUUAUUCCCUCUGCUUCCUCCCUGAGAUGCUCCCAUGUGUUGGCUGUGUCCCUCAACUGCGGGUUACACCUGUCAACUCUCCCUACAUGACUCCCUCGGCCUCCAGAUUCUACCCACGGCUCCUGCUUUGGGCCCUCUCAGGACUAGGAGCGGUACCAGCCCCCACAACCACUAGCCCUGGGAUACUGUACUGCUCCUUCUCAUGUAGCUCCUCCACAUGCUACAUUAAAAAAAUAGUCCUAUUAACCUGUCCUCGAAUGAUUUAGAGUGUGCUCUCUGUUUUCUGCUAGAACGCUGACUGGUACAGUAAGCAAUGUAAGUGUGUAGAGACUGCUAAUACAAGUUAGAGACUGCUGAUACAAGUUAGAGACUGCUGAUACAAGUUAGGCAUCCGUGUCCAGACGCUUCUUUUCUUAGCACUCACCCCUGCCUCACGGUUCAUCCACCUCACUCCCCUUUGCACUCAUGUUCACUUUCAUGGAGAACUUGCCUGUGGCACAACAUGAUUAAUAUUUGUCCCUGACACUCCUCUGGAGGCAGCAAUGGUAGUCAUUGCAAUCUUUUGCGUUUGCAAAAUGUUUUGAGAUUAAGGAGGCCCUUUCACAUCAAACCUUGAAAGAAUUUGUUGGCAUCGGUGUUACAGUCUAUAUGUUAGAUACGUGGAAAGUACACAUCACAUGGGUGAAGUGGAUCGCCCAGAUCCCAACCAGUAGUGGUCGAGCUGGACUCCAAUCCUGGGUCUGUCUAAUGCACAGUGAAUAAGAGGAAGUAAUUAACUCAUGGUUGUGUGUAUCUUGGGGGACUUGAGAAAGAGAAAAGAAAAAAAAAAUCAUGAUCCUCCUUGCAAGCAAAGCCAUACUUGGUGACAAAGUAUGAAAUGAUGGGUAUAGAGAAUCAUAGCAGAGCUAAAUGACCCUUAAGAAGAGUAAGGGAAAAAAAAACCUCACUCUCUCCAACAAAAUCUUUGAGUCCCAUGUUCUACCGACUGAGCUAGCCGGAUGCCUUCCAACAAAAUCUUUAAUAAUGUACCUAUUGCUCACGAGUGCAUCAUGGAAUUUUUGUUUUUUCUUUAAAUUUGGGGGCAGAGCAGAGUGCUGAGCUUCAUCAGUGGACUGGAUGGGAAAAGAAGUUGCCAUAGAGGGCAGCUCCUUCUGCGUUGUAGCUGCGAAUGCAAACAGAAAUUAUUGCCAUUGUCCCAGGAGUCUGAGGUUUGCUUUAGACAACAGAGCUCCCCUGUGUGAUGGGAGCAUGAAGCAGUGGCCAUUCAUGAAUAAACAGCCUGCAUCGCACAGCCAUGUGCUGGUGGGAAUGGAGCCAUCAGCCAGGACGGUGUCUCAUCUCCUCUUGCGCUCGUGACAGUGACAAGGCAGUCUGCACAGAACAUGCUGUCACCUGAGGAUAAAAUGCACACUUGGAUUUGAAAGACUUCCUAUGAAAAGUAAAAUUUUUUGUUAGUAAUUUUUAUAUUGA